rnacentral:tRNA from 1 species
GCCUCGGUAUCCCAACUGGUAGAGGAAACGGCCUCAAAAUCCGUGCAGUGUGGGUUCGAAUCCCACUCGAGGCA